rnacentral:rRNA from 1 species
UAGGGAAUCUUCCGCAAUGGGCGAAAGCCUGACGGAGCAACGCCGCGUGAGUGAUGAAGGUCUUCGGAUCGUAAAACUCUGUUAUUAGGGAAGAACAAAUGUGUAAGUAACUAUGCACGUCUUGACGGUACCUAAUCAGAAAGCCACGGCUAACUACGUGCCAGCAGCCGCGGUAAUACGUAGGUGGCAAGCGUUAUCCGGAAUUAUUGGGCGUAAAGCGCGCGUAGGCGGUUUUUUAAGUCUGAUGUGAAAGCCCACGGCUCAACCGUGGAGGGUCAUUGGAAGCUGGAAGACUUGAGUGCAGAAGAGGAAAGUGGAAUUCCAUGUGUAGCGGUGAAAUGCGCAGAGAUAUGGAGGAACACCAGUGGCGAAGGCGACUUUCUGGUCUGUAACUGACGCUGAUGUGCGAAAGCGUGGGGAUCAAACAGG